UUGUCGGCUGCGGCGGCGGCCGCGAGGCCCGGGGCUGUGGGCCUGCCCGGGGCCUGGGGGUCGUCGCGGAGGCAUGGGACGGCGGUGGUAGGAGGGCCUCUCAGGGAAGGGACGGGCUUGUGGUCCCCUCCGCCAUCGUCCUGCCCGGGAGGGUGGCCUCGGGCUUCCUCGGGCCCCUCGGCCAUCGUCGCCUCAGCAGCACCCUCCGGGAUACCUGUCACUGCUCCGUUUCCCUCCCCCAAUGGCCCCUCCCCAACAGCCCCGUCACCACCGCAGCAACCGCAGGCGUCAACAAUCCCCCGCCGGAAGCGGAAGCCCCGCCCCUCAGGAGCAACGCCCGCCGCCAGGCGGAGCUCGGAAGGGAGGGCGGGGAGGCGCGUCUGCAGUCCCGGGUUCGGGCCCUAGUAGUCGGUGGCUGGUCGGUGACUGGGACCAGACCGUCGCCUCCUCCCUUUUACAGCUUUAAGUCUGUGACCCGAGGCCUCUCUGUAUAUUCCCGUGGGUUUGGGCCUAGUUGUCCUGGGAGAAACUAGAUGGAUGAGGAGCAUUUCCGAGACAGGUCCCAGGGCCAGCGCAGCCUUUUCUGUUGCAGAACCGCGACUGUUGUUUUGGGCUCCAGGCCGGAGGGUUUGUUGCUUGUGUUCAUUCCAGUUAACCAUUAGUACUCGAGAAGGUGGUACAGAACGCAUCUAUCCCCUUAGAAGAAAAGAAAUUAAAAGCCAAACUAAACUGGGAUAUAUAUUAAUAUAGGAAAGUACCACUGAGACAUAGGAAAGUGUAUUAAAAUAUAACUAGUGAGGUGCUAUGUAUAAUUCAGAGGAAGGGGAAAUUAUGCAUGGGCCAGACUACUAACAAAAGGCUCCAAAGCCUGGGAUACGCUGAGGGCCUUUCCAUAACAGAAAAUGAAAAGGAACCUAAAUUUGAGACUAGAUUUGAGGAAAGGCACAGUUCCGCUGGAGUAGAAAGCGUCUGUCUACCGCAGUGGAAAUGAUAUGUUAUUGUAUCCCCAGCACCAUACAAAGGACAUACAAGGGCCAAAUACUGCGGGAAUAUUUAUUAAUGAUAUUAAUGAUGAUGCUGUCCGGGCAAAAGGAAAACUUCCGCUUCACCUUCUGAAGUUUCGCUGAAAGUCACUGACAGGAGGCAGUUAAUAGAAGAAAAGACAUAGACAUUGAUUUGACCAUCGUUUUAUGUGACACGGGAGCCUUCAGAAUGAAGACCCAAAGAUAACAAGGGAAAUCGUGUAUUUGUAUGCUUAGGUUCAACAAAGCAUGGACAGCCGUAUAAAAAAAAUGACUGGACAAGGCCGGGCGC
rnacentral:lncRNA from 1 species